rnacentral:ncRNA from 2 species
AUAUCGGCACUAGAUCAGGCGGCCCACGGGGCGCGGCCGGGCUUCUCGCAGCGGGUGAAACCGCGGGACUAGA